CUCCCUGUGGCUCAGUUGGUAGAGCAUGGUGUUUGCAUGGUGUUUGCAAUGGUGUUUGCAACGCCAAGGUUGUGGGUUUGAUUCCCACAGGGGGC
rnacentral:tRNA from 1 species